rnacentral:rRNA from 1 species
AGCGAACGCUGGCGGCAGGCCUAACACAUGCAAGUCGAACGCCCCUUCGGGGGAGUGGCGGACGGGUGAGUAACGCGUGGGAACGCGCCCUUUGGUACGGAACAACUGAGGGAAACUUCAGCUAAUACCGUAUGAGCCCCCAUUCUUAGCGGGAUGGGGGGGAAAGAGUUAUCGCCGAAGGAGCGGCCCGCGUUGGAUUAGCUAGUUGGUGGGGUAAAGGCCCACCAAGGCUACGAUCCAUAGCUGGUCUGAGAGGAUGAUCAGCCACACUGGGACUGAGACACGGCCCAGACUCCUACGGGAGGCAGCAGUGGGGAAUCUUGCGCAAUGGGCGAAAGCCUGACGCAGCCAUGCCGCGUGAAUGAUGAAGGUCUUAGGAUUGUAAAAUUCUUUCACCGGGGAAGAUAAUGACGGUACCCGGAGAAGAAGCCCCGGCUAACUUCGUGCCAGCAGCCGCCGUAAAAC